rnacentral:rRNA from 1 species
GACGAACGCUGGCGGCGUGCCUAAUACAUGCAAGUAGAACGCUGAAGGAGGAGCUUGCUUCUCUGGAUGAGUUGCGAACGGGUGAGUAACGCGUAGGUAACCUGCCUGGUAGCGGGGGAUAACUAUUGGAAACGAUAGCUAAUACCGCAUAAUAGCAGUUGUUGCAUGACAACUGUUUGAAAGGUGCAAUUGCACCACUACCAGAUGGACCUGCGUUGUAUUAGCUAGUUGGUGGGGUAACGGCUCUCCAAGGCGACGAUACAUAGCCGACCUGAGAGGGUGAUCGGCCACACUGGGACUGAGACACGGCCCAGACUCCUACGGGAGGCAGCAGUAGGGAAUCUUCGGCAAUGGACGGAAGUCUGACCGAGCAACGCCGCGUGAGUGAAGAAGGUUUUCGGAUCGUAAAGCUCUGUUGUAAGAGAAGAACGAGUGUGAGAGUGGAAAGUUCACACUGUGACGGUAUCUUACCAGAAAGGGACGGCUAACUACGUG